GAUGAACGCUGGCGGCGUGCUUAACACAUGCAAGUCGAACGAAGAUGCCGGAGUGCUUGCACUUUGGCAGACUGAGUGGCGGACGGGUGAGUAACGCGUGGGUAACCUGCCUUAUACAGGGGGAUAACAGUUGGAAACGACUGCUAAUACCGCAUAAGCGCACGGUAUCGCAUGAUACAGUGUGAAAAACUCCGGUGGUAUAAGAUGGACCCGCGUCUGAUUAGCUUGUUGGUGAGGUAACGGCCCACCAAGGCGACGAUCAGUAGCCGGCCUGAGAGGGUGAACGGCCACAUUGGGACUGAGACACGGCCCAAACUCCUACGGGAGGCAGCAGUGGGGAAUAUUGCACAAUGGGGGAAACCCUGAUGCAGCGACGCCGCGUGAGUGAUGAAGUAUUUCGGUAUGUAAAACUCUAUCAGCAGGGAAGAUAAUGACGGUACCUGACUAAGAAGCACCGGCUAAAUACGUGCCAGCAG
rnacentral:rRNA from 1 species